UACGGGGGGGGCAAGCGUUGUUCGGAAUUACUGGGCGUAAAGGGCUCGUAGGCGGCCAACUAAGUCAGACGUGAAAUCCCCGGGCUUAACCUGGGAACUGCCUUUGUGACUGCAAGGCUUGAGUGCGGCAGAGGGGGAUGGAAUUCCGCGUGUAGCAGUGAAAUGCGUAGAUAUGCGGAGGAACACCGAUGGCGAAGGCAAUCCCCUGGGCCUGCACUGACGCUCAUGCACGAAAGCGUGGGGAGCAAACAGG
rnacentral:rRNA from 1 species